GAGGUUGUGGCUCAGUGAUAGAGCACUCGCCUAGCACGUGUGAGGCACUGGGCUCAAUCCUCAGCACCACA
rnacentral:tRNA from 1 species